GACGAACGCUGGCGGCGUGCUUAACACAUGCAAGUCGAACGGAAAGGCCCUGCUUUUGUGGGGUGCUCGAGUGGCGAACGGGUGAGUAACACGUGCGUAACCUGCCCUUGACUUUGGGAUAACUUCCGGAAACUGGGGCUAAUACCGGAUAGGAGCUCCUGCUGCAUGGUGGGGGUUGGAAAGUUUCGGCGGUUGGGGAUGGACUCGCGGCUUAUCAGCUUGUUGGUGGGGUAGUGGCUUACCAAGGCUUUGACGGGUAGCCGGCCUGAGAGGGUGACCGGCCACAUUGGGACUGAGAUACGGCCCAGACUCCUACGGGAGGCAGCAGUGGGGAAUAUUGCACAAUGGGCGGAAGCCUGAUGCAGCAACGCCGCGUGCGGGAUGACGGCCUUCGGGUUGUAAACCGCUUUCGCCUGGGACGAAGCGUGAGUGACGGUAAUGGGUAAAGAAGCACCGGCUAACUACGUG
rnacentral:rRNA from 1 species